rnacentral:rRNA from 1 species
UACGGGGGGGGCAAGCGUUGUUCGGAAUUACUGGGCGUAAAGGGCUCGUAGGUGGCCAACUAAGUCAGACGUGAAAUCCCUCGGCUUAACCGGGGAACUGCGUCUGAUACUGGAUGGCUAGAGUUUGGGAGAGGGAUGCGGAAUUCCAGGUGUAGCGGUGAAAUGCGUAGAUAUCUGGAGGAACACCGGUGGCGAAGGCGGCUCACUGGCCCGGAACUGACGCUGAGGUGCGAAAGCGUGGGGAGCAAACAGG